GACGAACGCUGGCGGCGUGCCUAACACAUGCAAGUCAACUUGACUGAAGGAGCAAUCUGACAGAAGGGUGGCGCAAGGGUGCGUAACGCGUAAGUAACUUGCCCAAGGUAAGGAAUAACGUCGAGAAAUCGGCGCUAAUACCUCAUAAUGCAGCGGAUCCGCAUGGAUACGUUGUUAAAAGGUUUACCGCCUUGGGAUAGGCUUGCGUCUGAUUAGCUAGUUGGUGUGGUAACGGCACACCAAGGCUACGAUCAGUAACUGGUCUGAGAGGAUGAUCAGUCACACUGGAACUGAGACACGGUCCAGACUCCUACGGGAGGCAGCAGUGAGGAAUAUUGGGCAAUGCUCGAAAGAGUGACCCAGCAACGCCGCGUGGAGGAUGAAGGUAUUCUAUAUCGUAAACUCCUGUGAGAGCAGACGAAAGACAGAUUAUUAAUCUGGAUGACUGUAUGCUCAGA
rnacentral:rRNA from 1 species